UGGCGACCGGGUGAGUAACACGUGACUAACCUACCCUCGACGUGGGGAAUAACUCCGGGAAACCGGAGCUAAUACCGCAUAACAUCGCAAGAUCAAAGCCGAAAGGCGCUUGAGGAGGGGGUCGCGGCUGAUUAGCUAGUUGGUAGGGUAAUGGCCUACCAAGGCAACGAUCGGUAUCCGGCCUGAGAGGGCGCACGGACACACUGCAACUGAACCACGGUCCAGACUCCUACGGG
rnacentral:rRNA from 1 species